GCCAGGCGUGGUGGCGUGUGCCUGUAAUCCCAGCUACUCAGGAGGCUGAGGCAGGAGAAUCACUUGAACCCAGGAGGCGGAGGGUGCAGUGAGCUGAGAUUGCGGCCACUGCACUCCAGCCUGGGUGACAGAGUGAGACUCUGUCUCAA
rfam:Homo sapiens chromosome X, GRCh38 reference primary assembly.